rnacentral:tRNA from 1 species
GCCGGAGUGGCGGAAUUGGUAGACGCAGUUGAUUCAAAAUCAACCGCUUUAGGGCGUGCCGGUUCGAUUCCGCCUCGGCA